GGCCUCGCUCCGCGGCCGCCGUCGCCGUGCUCCCAGGAUGGGACGGGACUGGCCUGGCCUGGCGGAGGCUUCCGGAAGGGCUCUUGGCCGCACUCCAGGCCGGGUCCCAGCCCCCCUCUGCGCGGGCAUCGUGGCGGGCGAGGGUCUGGCUGUGCCAGGACGGGGGCCGGGCACCUUCCACGGGCCGCUCGGGGCCAGCAGGCCUCGGCCGCGGGGAGGGGCUGCCCCUGCCCCCCUGGGCUCUGGCCUGGGCUGCCUUGUCCACCCCAUCCUGGGCUCUUACGAGGUGCCUGUCGCCCGUCAUGGGAGGCGGAUCGUCCCCUCGUGGGUCACAGGGUGGCCGGGGCCCUCUUGCUAAGGGCUGGCCCGCCGACGCGCCUGGGGGGCUGGGGGGCUGCUUCCCGGAACCCGGCCUGGAGACAGCUGGAGGCCCGGGGCUGGGGAGGGGGGCAGGAGCUCAGGGUCCAGCCCAGGGAGUCGGAAGGAAGGUCUGUGACGUGUCCUAAGGUCUGGGGGUGGUCUCAGGCCAGAGUGCUGGGCCCCGUCGCGCUCUCCCAGCGAGGGGCGCGUGGGCCUGGGUCUGAGAAUGGCCUGGUGUUGGGGGCCCCUCCCCGGCCCUCGGGGUCUCUGGGGCCCACUCUGCAGCCCGUGCCGGGCACCCUGGUACACCCAUCGCUGCGGGAGACUCUGGGACAUCCCGGGGGGAGCAGGCAGGGGUCUGGGGACUCUCAGCUGCCAGACCCGGGCAGGGAGCACGACAUGAAGACGUCACCAGAGGAGGCUUGGCCUCCUCGCCUCACAGAGAGCGCGGUGCCCCUGGGUGGCAGGUCCCUGCCAGGCUCUGUGUGUGACACACCUGCCCUCCACGGCGGGCCUGGCGGGCCGUGGGGCAGGUGCUGCCCACGGCGGUCCUUGGGAACAGGUGAGGCCAGCAGAACCCAGACGGGAGGGCCGAGCGCAGGGCAGGGAAGGGUGGGCGGGUCCCGCUGUGCAGGGCGGACGGUGCCGUCAGGGGACACAGGCGCCCGUGCCAGGAGGCCACAUGGGGAGGAGGUGCUGGGGUGGGGCCUCCCCGAGGGGCAGGACGGGAGCACCAGCCUCCUGGGCUGGACGGGGACGCGGCCAGGGACACAGCUGCCCGUCCGGGGCUCCACGCAGCAUCCCUGA
rnacentral:lncRNA from 12 species